rnacentral:lncRNA from 1 species
GUUGCGCCAAAACUGCAUGGGCUUGCCCUAGUCUACCUCGACGUCUAUAUAUAUAUAUGGAUGUCUGACUGCAAUCUAAAGGCAUCUUGAAUUCGUGUGAUCACCAUCAGUCUUAGCUUAAUAUUUGGUAUGUUUUUAUUUUCUUUGGUCGAGGUUGGUAUCGUCCUUAGAUUGUAGUAUUAAAUUUUGUACUCUUUUGUUUUAAUACAAGUAUAUUUUCAUACAUUUAUUAUGUUUUAUUUACUUUAAUUAUGUUUAUUAGGUAAUUUUAUAUACUUGGUUUGGGCAUAUAUUAGUCGAGUAUGAGUACUCGGUGUUGUGAAGUAUAAUUUGGCCAUAAUAAAUGUAUGUGUGUGUUCUCAAAGUACUAUAUCAUAAUCUAAAUACUAUAAUUUUGGUCAAACUUGAUGUAUUAAUCGGUCGAUAACACUUUGGGCAAGUCUAGGUUACAAGUAAUAAUCGACUCAAAGUGUAAAGUGUAUCUCACUCCAAAUAGUACGACUGGUGUUGGCCAAUGGUAUAUGUACUUCAGACAUACUUAUGACCAAUUGAAGUUAUCUCUCUUGAUGUUGUUUGUGAAAGACAUUUAUUGAAGUGUCUCCUGAGUGAUUGAUUAGAUAGUGUGUAUAGAAUAGUGUCUCUUACAUGCUUUACAAUUAAGAGUGGAUUGGGUAGAGUGAGAUGUAGUGUAGUAAAUAAUUUUGUACGAAUAGACAAAGCGUUUAUUCAUGUUUAACCGAUCAUGCUCAGACCAGGUUGUAUCAUUCUUAGACUUUUGAUUAUGAAGAUCUAUAGUGUAGGCAUCGUCUUGUUGGAUGAAUGCAUCACCUAGGUUUGAAUGUCAUAAGGGGCAAAAAGUUUAUUUCUUUUUAAGUAUUAAAUUUAACUUUGAAUGCAUUUAUUUUAUAGAAAAAUACAUUAUUCUCAUGUUCUCACAAUAACCAAC